GUGGGAAGAAAAUGCAAAUGGCUACGUUUUGUUCCACUUGCCAUUUAUCUGGUUAUUCUAAAUUACAGUAUCCCUUCCAUCCUGCCAGGAUGACUGAAAAUUUUAGUACUGAACAUACUCUCAGCCUCUAUACAUUUUUUUAAAUGCAUUUUAAAAUAGAAAGUGCUCUGAGGAGAUUUAGAAGUUCAGAAAUGAAAACCUUGGGUAAGACGGGGCUUGGAAAGGAUUGUAAAGGAGUCUAGUACAGGUUGCUAAGGGCAUUGUUACUUGCAUCAUGCAGUACUAUGGGAAGAAGUGCUCUUAAAAUUCUAGUCCAGGUCAUUGUUUUAAUGGCAUGUGGUACCACAAGAUUUUCUGUUCUUUGAAAUUGUUUGGGACCUUUAAUAGGAAGGAUAGUCAUAAGACAGUAAAUGCAAUAUUAUGCUAUAUAGUGGUGAAGACGAGGCUUGGCUAAGAUGACUCAACGGAAGGACUGAAGGACUUGAAGAGAGUCGGCUAGUGAGGAAAGCAGGAGAUCAGAAACUGCCUGGAGAGUGGACAAGAAACCAGAGAUUAAGGAUCCCUUCCAAAGGAAAUGCAUGACAGAGAGCCAGCUCUCUGCCCUCACAGAGAUGCAUGGCCAGUAUGUGAACAUGCACCCAGGAUCUGUCUUCCUCUGGAUGAGAAGUUUAAAGGACGGUCCAGGGAGGCAGGAGGCCUGAGCCAGUGGGGAAUAUUGUGAUCAGGUGACUAGUUGACUGCACAAUGUGUUAUGGUCAAGUAAUAUCUAAGCUAGAGGUCCUUUAGGUCAGAGUGCACUUCAGUGAUUAUGAAUAAAAGAAACAAAAGCUUCUAUGUAAAAAGAGAAAAUGGAAUAUGAAAAUACAUGAACACAAUUUGAUAAUGCUUGGAUAUUUUUAAAGACUGUUACAUUUAAGUCAUUUAAUUUUAGUCCAUAGUCUGUAAGAACUAUUCUGCGGCGCUGCAGGCAAGUAUUUACAGAUGUACAACCUCUUUACAUAACACACAUUUAGUCCUUAGUCUUAAGACAAUCAUGUCUUAAUUUAUAAUUUCUUAAUAUUCAGUAUUAAAGUGAAAUAAGUUAUUAGUCACAUUCUUAAUUUUUUAAAUAUUAAAGAAUUUAAAAAGCUUCCAAUCCUCAUCUUGAGCCCCAUGUAAAACUUUUACUUAUUUUAUUGUGAUAUGCUGACCCUAUGAUAAUAAUUCAAAACAGUUAAGAAUAUAAGGAAUAGAACGAUAAAAAUCUGUAGGGAAACAAAGGAGUCCUUUGCCAUGUUGGAUUUGGAAGUGAAAUCCCAAAUCUAGCACUAAAAGCAGAACUACUAAGAGAAAACAAAUAGACCUGUUGAUUUCAUCAAUAUUGGACUGGACAAAAAUGAAAUGUGUAUUCUGUGAGUAAAGUACUAGCCCAGGCCAGAGGUCAAUUACCCAGGCCCUCAUAAGGCAGGUGUGCUAUCCCACCUGUAAGCCCAGAGCUCCUGCAGGCAAAGUCAAGACAGACGCUUCCAGAAAGGCCUCAGAGCAGCCGCCCUGAUGCAUGCAGACACAAAGAACAGUAGAUCUUGUCCCUAACAAAAUGCAAAGUGAGAACUGACACUAAAUGUUAUCUGAGCUCUACAAGUGUGCUAAGGAAUGUGCACACACACAUGAGAACACACAGAGACACACACACAGACACACAGGUGAAAAAAUAAAACUGUGUGCACAAAAGAAAUUAUUAGGGAAAAUGACAAUCUUUAGGAUGGGAAAAAAUAACAUGUCAGAAACAUAAAGAUAACCCAUGAAUUAUGCAAAGAAAUGACAAUUUACACACGAGCAAUAUAAACAUGAAAGAUGCUCAGUUGCCCUGGGGAAAUGCCAGUUUAGUUACCACGAGCCCUGCCCCUCCAUUUAUGCAGAUUGUCACUAUAAAACUGAAGAAUACGUCUAAAAAGAGGUAAAAAUUAACCAUCUCCUUUACACUGACAUUGAGGAUGGAAAAUGGUGUAAUUGUAGAAAGUCACUUGGAAAGUCCUUAAAAGUGCAUAGUAUAAAAUUACUAUUACUUAGAAAUCUGCUCAUUUGUAUAUUCACAGAAGUAUAAGAUACAGACACCCAAGUAGAUACAUACUCUAUCUAGUGUUCACUGCAGCCUAUUUAUUUACAGUAUUCAAAAGAUAGAAACAAAGGGUCCAUAUGCUCUUAUGAAGUAAAAAUGUAUGUUCUGUGUGUGUAAUGAAAUAUGCAGUC
rnacentral:lncRNA from 1 species